AUGAUUAAAUCUAAUGGCUUUGACUUGAGGUUGGGAGAAUGGAAAAUUCCCCAGCCACAGGACAGAAUAAGGCCCGCUAGGCCCUGCCUCGGAGGAAGCCUGCCUGCCAUGGUGAAGGGACAAGAGGCACUGCCUGCUUUCUGUCGAGCUUUUGCUGCCCUCAGACCUCUGCCCAGCCCAUCUCCUGUCCUCUCAGACGCUGCUGCGCGGCCAUCGCUCUCCAUCUCCAGUGGCACCUCUAGCUCGCCAAGCUCCAGCCGAAGGAAAAGCGGUUGGCAGUUUGAAAGGGGAAGCGGAAAUAAGAACACACUCUCAUCUACACAGGCAUCUGCACAGGCCCCACCUCCGACCCGAGCCACAUCCUCUGGCUUAGGAGAAUGAAGAACAAAACAUCUGCCGAGCUCACAAGAAGGGAAAGCCUGACGCUCCGAGGCCAGACCACCAAGUCAGACUGCACAUCUACAGAGAACUGGAGACUGCGGCAUAGACCCUGCAGGAGUAGGCGCAGCAGAACCCAGUGAUGUGUGGAGACCAAGAGCAGGGUUACUGUGUCAGUUAAUCAGAAGAUGUGGGCCAACUCUGCCUUCAGAUCCAAAGGGGACCCGGCUCUGUGCAGGAGUCUCAGCUCCAGGGUGGUUCUCUUUGCCAGGCUUUGAGGAGAAAGAUGUACAGGUGGAAGAGAGAAAGAAGAGAAACUGCCUCAGAGAGACUCGGAAAGGAAGUUGACUCACACAGGAGAGAAAGUGAAACCGAAGCGAACGCCCACCCGAACGGAAAGAGGCAAACCUCUCUGGCUCAGAGAGGAGAUGGCUCAUCUUUCUCAGGCACCUGUCCCUGCCACAACCAUCCUCCCCCCACAGCUUGCCUUGCCCGCUUUAGAACAGAAGAGCAAACGAGACAAUGAGAUUUAAAUACUUAAAAGUAUUCUACAACUACCGAGUCUAACUGCUGCC
rnacentral:lncRNA from 1 species